ensembl:lncRNA
GCCAGGGCUAGUGGAUUGGUAGUCAUAUUAUGCUGGGCUGUCAAGGGAGGUCUCUAUGGGGAACGGGUUUACGGGGGGGCUGGAUGGCAGCAGGUGAACAUGAAUAUUUCAGUCACAUCUCCAAUUGCCUUUUGUCCGGCUUGUUUUGGAGUGCCAACUUCACUGAUGCGGUACAGGGAAGAGAGCGAGAAGGCAAUGGUGGACAGGAGUAGAGAAUGAAACAGGCCGCCGACGGUGAAUUCACUAGUGGACUAUUAAAGGGGGAGUGUCAGCCUUGUAUUUGAAGAGGCGCCGGAUUGAGGAGGGCGGGGAUGAGUUCUGACCAGUGACAUGUCUAAACAACCGUAGACACCGACACAUACCACUUUAUCAUUGCUUCUGACAGACUCAAUGGGAAAUAUCUGGAUUUGUUUUGCUGCAGUAGGAAGAACUGCAAAUGAAUUAUUAUUCUGAAGUCCAAAGGAGAAAAGCUACACAGGAAAUCACCCGUGGAGGGAAUCUUUUGAAUGCAUGGGGACGGUCAAGGCUGAAGUCGCUACUGUUCUCAGUUGGACACAAGGCAUUGUCUGCUGAAAGGAUUAAUAGGGAGAGGAAGUGUGUAAGGAAUGUCUCGGCGUGUGCAGACCCAGGACGGCCAGGCCGAGGGAAUUGGCUCCAUGAAGUCACGCAAUCGGUUGCCUAUGAUUGGAUCAUCGGGAAGUAAGACAGGAGCCAAGGCUCCUCUGGCCAAGCACCAGCUCCCCUGUCAGUCUGGAUGGAGGAAGUGCCCCCACCCGGCCCAGACCUCCGACAACACCAUGACCCCGUGGAGUGGGCUGUCCCUGUCCGAAUCCUCCUUCACCAGCAUGCCUCCGCCCGCACCCGCCCCUGUCCCUGCACCCCUGUCCACCCACCUCCUCUGUCACCGGGCGGGGGGUGUCACCCCCCGGCAACCCGUCCCGUCGCCCCCCGUCACUGCGCCUGCAGAGGGGGGCAGGGCUGCCAGGCUUCACGUUCUCCUUCUUUGAGCUGCCGCUGCACCACUCCCCCCGCAGCCGUGCCGAACGGAUCCGAGACCUCGUGCUGCUGCUGAAACAGAUCCAGUACUGAUGGAUCGCGACACGGCCAGGGAAACCCAGUAAUGAUCGUAGCCCAGAGGUCAAUGUUCGUCUUAGUUCAGUGAUGCUGCUUUGACACACAUUUAUUCUCACUUUGAGCCCAUGGAUUAGAGUAUGGAAUGGCAUUAGUGUUCGUGUUGUGUGAUUUGUUUAGAAUGUGAUUUGUCCUUUUUUGGGCUGCCUGAAUCUGGAGCUUUGAAUUGUAAUGUGUGUAGAUAAAUGUUUAGUGAAGUAAUCUGUCAGAUGAGCACAUUUAAUAAUUUCAUUUGAAAUGGCACUAAAUGAAACCAUUUAUUUAGAAGGAAAAUAAAUUCAAACCAAAUCAACAGAGAUGAAACAUCGCAUUCUGAGUUUAGGAAGAUGCUUUACUGAACAUAGUCUUGGUAACGAUACAACUACAUGAUGAAGUAUAGAAUAAAAUAUUUAUUUGCUGUUUAAGUAUUAAGUAUUUAAGUUCUCCAUCCUGUAAAUUAAGCCCAAUUCAAAUAUUCAUAACUCAUUUCGUUUUUUAAUUGGAAUGCAAGUGAAAUUCAAAACUUAAUUCAGAAUUCACCCCAACCCUGAUAACAAAUGUUGUUUUAUGUGUCACGUUUACAAUGUAAUGUUGGCAACAUUUCUCUCUUUAGACUGUUUUUAUUUUAAAUUUUUUUGUCUCUGAAUUACUUGGCAGAAUUUUUAUAUCACUUUUACAAAUGACUAGUGUAAGCCUGCUUUGAGGACAGGGAUGAUUAACCCAAACAGCUGGAUCCGUUAUCAGUUCACCAAAAGAAUCAACCCAACCCUGAAAUAUAGUCGCCUGUGCUCACUAACUACUAGAGAUACAAGAGCUACCAGCACAGACCUUUCACACUCAUACACACACACAUACACACACACCUAUAAUCUACCAGACAGACAGAAGGACAUGGACGUCUGUACUGAGUGUCUGGGGAUAUCAGUGGACAGUGAGUCUACUAGUCGGAAGCUUUGAUGUUUCUAAUGUCUAUUUGGACUUGGUCCUUAGGAUGGGGUUCAACUAGUGAUGGCCAUACGAGGCUUCAUUACCAUUCUUCUAGCAGCAGGAUAUUAUGCUAGCAGUACUAACUCAGAUUUUCUUUUUCAAAAUAAAAGCCAUCAUUGAAAUAUAUAAGGCAAUAUAGUUAGCGAUCUAGUCUGUACAUUUUGUUUAAUGUCCGUUCCAAUAUUGUUUGUGUCUGUUCUUUUUUACAGACUAUAUUGGUAACUAUAUUGCCGUAUAAAUUUCAAUGAUGGCUUUUAUUGUGAUAAAGAAAAUCUGAGUGCUGCCAGCAAAAUAUCCUGCUGCUAAAAUACAGCUAAAGAAAGCCUUUUUUGGCCAUCACUAGGUUCCAUAUGAGAGAACCGUGCAGUCUUCUUAAGGCCAUGGGCCUGGUGACAUCGUGUCUGGUUAGGAGCCCACCAUUCACAUUCAUCAACAUGUUGUCUCCCUCCUCUCCAGUUCUAGAGGAACCACUUUGUUAUUCCAACCAAAUGUCAACUGAACAACAUUUUAACAGAAGAUGCUGUUUUAUGAAAAACUGCACAGAGAACUUGUGGCUUAUCUGUAGAGGCAAAACUUAAAUGCACAGG